CAGUAGCCGCGGUAAUACGUAGGGUGCGAGCGUUAAUCGGAAUUACUGGGCGUAAAGCGUGCGCAGGCGGUUAUAUAAGACAGAUGUGAAAUCCCCGGGCUCAACCUGGGACCUGCAUAUGUGACUGUAUAGCUAGAGUACGGUAGAGGGGGAUGGAAUUCCGCGUGUAGCAGUGAAAUGCGUAGAUAUGUGGAGGAAUACCGAUGGCGAAGGCAAUCCCCUGGACCUGUACUGACGCUCAUGCACGAAAGCGUAGGGAGCAAACAGGAUUAGAUACCCGAGUAGUCCCUGUCUCUUAUAC
rnacentral:rRNA from 1 species